UACAGAGGGUGCGAGCGUUGUCCGGAAUCACUGGGCGUAAAGGGCGCGUAGGCGGCCCGGUAAGGUUGCGGUGAAAGCCCGGGGCUCAACCCCGGGUCGGCCGUGGCAACUGCUGGGCUGGAGCACAGUAGAGGCGGGUGGAAUUCCGGGUGUAGCGGUGGAGUGCGUAGAGAUCCGGAAGAACACCGGUGGCGAAGGCGGCCCGCUGGGCUGUUGCUGACGCUGAGGCGCGACAGCGUGGGGAGCAAACAGG
rnacentral:rRNA from 1 species